GGUGGACUCAGAGGCCCCAGAGAACAUAACUAUCUUGCAGAGACUUCCACAGCCAAGUGGUGAGAAGCUGGGAUUGCUCCCCGGUUUUGCGGAUCUUCUGUGGGACUUUCUCCUGCUUCGCCUUCCUGCCACAGUGUCUCCCUGGGACCAGCUUGGGCAAUGUUGAGGGAUGGAGAGAUGUGACUUCCAUGCCUUCCAGGAAGAAUUUGGAACCACAGAUGGGCAGCAUGGAUUCACUGGAACCACAGAACCAGCAGGGAAGGGAGCCAGAAGGAUGCCUCCUCAGCAGCUAUCCUGACCCAGUGGGGAGAUUCGAUAUCAUUGAACAGCUAAGGUAUGCAAGAGGACCACGGAAGGGUCGACAACCUCACGUUACCAUCUCGCAACUGGCAGAAUCAUCACGGCCUUUUUGAUGACGGAGCCAUUUUAUAUGUAACAAGAGUUCGCAGAACGCUUGAACAGGAGAAAUGUUUUGUAAUCAAGGAGCAGUAAUUGUUAUUCUUUCCAGUUGUUGAGUUAGCUAUGCCUCUAUAAAUUAUAACGUAGUGUUCCAAAUUUAUAUUGAGUUCCUGCGGUGUCCUGAAAUUGGGGUCAGCCCACCUCUCCAAAGAAGACCAGACAUGUUCCUGUGAUGCGGGUUCAUGAAUGAUAAUUUCGAUCGCUUCUUCCUCAUUCUAAAAGCGAACAAAAGUCAGCGUCCCCACAGAGCCUAGAUUUCUGAAGUAACUUCACCUGUGUGAAAUCCCAACUUAUCUCGAUAGGAUAUUAUCAAAGGAAGGGAAAUUUCCCAUCCAGGAUACGUAAAAACAAAACAAAACAAAACAAAACAAAACUCAAUAUCUGAUUCCCAGCAAAGCUCUGGCACUUUGUCUCACAGGUUUGUUGAGAACUUAUAACCAUGGUUGAUUUCUUGGGCAUUAAUUUCUUACCACUUUCUGGGAAUCUAUUGAGGCAGAUGCAAAUUAGGAUAGGGUGGGUCCUCAAAUAUAGAUUCUUUCAGACUACUGUUCUUAAGAAUUCACAUUGAGCUUAUUUCUAAACUUAUAACAUUAUGACAGAGAGGUCAAUGAGUCAACUCUUUGAGUUCGUGAUGACUUUAAGGGCAUGCCAUCGACCACAUUUCUAACUCAAAUCAAGCUAUUUUAGGUGUGGCUCUCAAAAUCAUCGAUCUCCGCAAUGUCGCACUCGACUGCACUUGUGGCAUGUUUUUGAGCUGCAGGGUCCAUGGGGCUGGAAUGCUGGCCUCGGGAAGGACUCUGGACAGGGUUUGGCAAUCGUAUGAACCACCAGGGUUCCUUCCCGCAAUCAGCCUGGCAUCGACUGGAUCAACAGCAGAGCCCUAUUCCCGGUCUGUGUUGAAAUUCUCUGUUGUCCUUUCAAAUCCUAACUAAAGGUUUCCUCCCAUUGUGUA